UGUAAAAUGAAACAACAUUCUUUUAAAAUGCAGAAUUCUACUUCUGUCAUGGUACUCAAAAGUAAAGAGCAAAACACAGCUUCUGUAUAGUUUUCCAGCCAUGCCCAUGGUUUGGUCAUACUCACAGCACUACUGGGAAUAAUUAACUUUCCUAAUCCUUGUUGUCCAAUUGAAAUGAUUUGUUCUAUUUUUAAAUUAUUAACAAUCCAGCUUUUUUCUUUACUAAGAGGCAUUCACAAAAACAUUAUUUAAUUUGUAAACUGUCCAAAUUCACAGUAAAAUUUCUACCAGCACUGUCAAACCCAAAAAUAUUACAUUGGUGCUUUGGCAAGCAGGAAUAAAAUAAAGCUUGCACUUCCCAAGUGACAAGCUAAUACAGUUCUACAUACAAGGCAUAAAAUGACUGGAAGUUUCCACAGAAUUUGCUCAUUCACACCUCAUCUAGAACAUUUAAAAAAUGCAGACUAAGUUUGAGCUGGGUUUUUUAAUGGUGUGAUACAAAAACAAGAAGAUGAAGACUGGAAUAUGUUCUAUCUAGGUGGACCUACAAUUCUGUCUGGAUAUUUAGCAAGAAUGUAAACAUCUUCUAAACAUUUGAAUGUAAGCUCUCAUUUUCUAAUGAGUUUUCUGGUUCCAGAAUUAUUGACAAUGAUUCUGCCAAUAUAUUCAAGGACACAUUAGGAAAACCUCAGCCCUGCUCGAUACCAAAUCAUAUUACAUAAACCUGGGAACAUUCACACUGAAGAAUACUACAAAUACAUGUUUAAAUGCCUUAAUAAAUUUAGGCCUACGUGACUUGUGACUCUAAGUCAACCCUGUAUUGCAGACUGCAUGAUUUGAAUCUGUAACUGGUAAGUACCAACUACACAAAUAUAGAAUUUCUUUAGAAGAAUAAAGUGAUACACUCUAAUACACCAACAUGCCUAUGUCUGUGCAAGUAUUUCCUUCUAGUUUUAUUCCAUUCUGGCUUACAGUGAUUUCACAAAUCUGCUGCCUCUGCCUUUGCUGAAGAGCGGUCGGUCGUACCUGUCUGUACAGCGGUGUCCUUCCGAGGAGAAACCUGCUGCUCACUGUGGCUCUGGACAUCAUCACAGAAAUUGUUACUUUGAUGUGAAAUACCAGAAUGACAAUCUUCACACUGCGUGUCACCUGAAAAGUUGUGGAAAGAAGAACAACCGGUGGUGUAACAUGUUUUGAAGGAGCUGAGCAGUUACAGGCAAGGAUGACCUUCCCUGUGUUUUACCAGUCCCUGGCAUCAGGGAUCCACAUGUCUGCAGGUUUUGGAGCAGUGACACUAUGGAAUCUGCUGCUGUUCCAAAUAGGAGACUAACUGUAAUAGCUGCUACUGUGGCAAAAGGAAGAAUGAAACAUCAGACGAAGCUUUUAACCUUCUGCAGAGCUGCAAAACUCAGUUUACAAAGGAAACCUGAUCCCUUCAACAACUAAGAGGAUGACAAGACUCG